CACUAAGAAAGUUGUAAAUAAAAAAUUGUGAGUCCAUUUAAAUGACUUUGUUUCCUUGAAAAAUUUAGAAAUUGUCCAAGGAGUCUGCUAACUGGUAGAGCACAGGGGAUUCACUGGAUUGUCUGAUCUGUGACAACAUGCACGUUGAACAAGUAUUUCUUAAUGAUGCUCUCAUCUUCAUUUAGCCUUGUGGUGUCAGAGAAUCCACAGAACUCCAAACUGGAUCAUGGCCAUUGCAAGCUGCAUGCUGAGUGAAGAAGUCCAGAUUCCUAUUGGUGUUUUCGUCUAAAGAUCUAGCUUUGACAGCAUCCCUGACUGAUCUGACCGAUGACUGAGAAUCUCUGAGAAUACCUACAUUAACAGCUCUUCUGCCUAGAAAUGAGAAUGAGAAAUUAG
rnacentral:lncRNA from 1 species